rnacentral:rRNA from 1 species
UACGAAGGGUGCAAACGUUGCUCGGAAUCAUUGGGCGUAAAGCGCACGUAGGCGGCUUCGCAAGUCGGAUGUGAAAUCCCUCGGCUCAACCGAGGACGUGCAUACGAAACUGCGGAGCUUGAGUGCUGAAGAGGAUCGCGGAAUUCCCGGUGUAGAGGUGAAAUUCGUAGAUAUCGGGAGGAACACCAGUGGCGAAGGCGGCGGUCUGGGCAGACACUGACGCUGAGGUGCGAAAGCGUGGGGAGCAAACAGG